rnacentral:rRNA from 1 species
AUGAACGCUGGCGGCGUGCCUAAUACAUGCAAGUCGAGCGAACAGACGAGGAGCUUGCUCCUCUGACGUUAGCGGCGUCCGGGUGAGUAACACGUGGUUAACCUACCUAUAAUUCUGGGAUAACUUCGGUAAACCGGAUCUAAUACCGGAUAAUAUAUUUAACCGCAUGGUUCCAUAGUUAAAUACGGUUUUGCUGUCACUUAUAGAUUGAUCCGCGCCGCAUUAGCUAGUUGGUAAGGUAACGGCUUACCAAGGCAACGAUGCGUAGCCGACCUGAGAGGGUGAUCGGCCACACUGGAACUGAGACACGGACCAGACGACUACGGGAGGCAGCAGUAGGGAAUCUUCCGCAAUGGGCGAAAGCAUGACGGAGCAACGCCGCGUGAGUGAUGAAGGUCUUCGGAUCGUAAAACUCUGUUAUUAGGGAAGAACAAAUGUGUAAGUAACUAUGCACGUAUUGACGGUACCUAAUCAGAAAGCCACGGCUAACUACGUG